GAAAUUUGAUCCCAUCCUUGAUUCAGUAUAGCAAUGACUUCUAAUAAUAAUAACUAUUUUCACAUAUUAAACAGAAAAUGGGUUAUUUCCUUCUUACUUUUUCAUUAAGGCAGUUUACAAUGAAGAAGACAAAAAUUACCCUAUAAAGAAAGAGAGAGAGAGAGAGAGGGAUAUGCAUGCAUCUUUUGCAGAAAAAGGGUAUGAUUGAUUUCAAGAUCUCACCCAAACCAUACACUAGAAAGAGGUAUGUAUUCUUUUUUUCAUUUAAAAUUUAGAAUUUUUUCUAUAUAUACCACACACAAUCAUAUGUUUGUGAUGGUUGUAUCUGCUCUUACAUAUGUUUGCUUUGGCUUUCCUAUGCUUGUUAUUUGCUCUUAAUUAUUUCUGUUCGUGCCAAAAUAACGCAUGCACACACCAUAGAGAAAUAAACAACAUAUCUAGUAAAAUCCCACAAACAGAAUCUCGAAUGGGUAGUGUAUACGCAGACCUUACCUCUUCCUUUGAAAAGAAGGAGAGGCUGUUUCUAAUAGACCCUCGGCUAUCAGAGAGAAAUAAAAAAGAUAUUUAAAGGAAUACCCUAGAGCCUGGCAAAAUGUUCAAUGCUUGAAUAAAAUCAGGGACAAGCAGAAAGAGAGAGCAUUGUAUUUAUACCACUAUAUGAAGAAACAUCUUACAGAAAAUACUAUAAAAGCUUGAGCAGCUGUUAACUGCACGGGGAGAAGGGGGGGGGUGGGGGCUUUUUUUUACAAUUAAACAAUAGACUUGAUAUACUCAUAACCUAAAAUGACCUUAAAAGAAUGAAACCAUCCCCAUAAAUUUGCUAUAAAAAUAGCAGAAAUCAGGAGGGGGUUGGGGGUUUUGGGGGUAGGUAUAAAUAUAAAGAUAUAUAUGCCUUCGACGACGGGGUCCAGCAGCUAUGUACACAAAUUAAUGACUAGAUACGAUAUAGGGUAAGCAAAUCUACCACCAAAAAAGGGGGAAAGAACAAGAACUCAGGCAGAGAUAUCAUGUUGGUUUCCCUGAUCAGUUGAUUUAGUGCCAGAAGACUCAUGCCUGUGCUCCUCUUGACCUUUGGACUUGGCAUCUUCAGACUUUUUCUCCGGGGGUGCAUUACUACCUCCUGUGCCACAAAGUAUGCAAGGAUUUGAAGGUCUUGGAGAGCACCAAUUUUCUGGAACACUUAGGAAAUGUGUGUCGAUAAACUUUCUAAAUCUCUUUUUAUACUCCCUUGGAGAGAGUACAGUAGGAAGCUGAUUCUUGGGGACCACAAGAGAGGAUUUGACCCAAUUUUCAAGUUGCUUGUCCCAUGUAUACUGCCUGAGAUAGUCAAUGAUGCCACAAACAAGUUCACGGCGCUGAGUAUCCACGCCAACAAGUAAAGAGUAGUCCAUCACAUUGACCGACUGUUAUUCAGAAAAUGCUACCAUUUUAGAAGCUAAGCUAUAAAAUUGUAGUACAUGUUUAUCAUAAGCACAAGUCACAAGCAUUUUAGCACUACUAGGAUUUAGUAAAUAUGGCUACAGGUAAUUCAUCAGUAGGAGUUCAUGCAAAACUUACAUUGAGGAAACCACAGUCAUUCCAUACAGCUCGUUGCAAGUUCCUCUUUGAUCUCAUACCAACAUAUAAAGGAGAGAUGUUCAUGUCAUUCACAAAAUUUUGGUCCAAAAGAACAUCUCCUGCACUAUUGCCAGCUGAAUUGAAUCGUGCAUGCAGAGCUCCUUUUAGAUCAUACUGCCUAGUAAUAUUUCUUCCAAAUGAAAGGUUCUCCAUUACCAUGAGAUCAUGCCUCAUCUCUUUCCCAUUUUUUGUUGGCCUUACAAUGACCUGCAAAAACAUAAAUACUGAGACAAAAGUCCAAAAAGAGCAUGUCUACUGUGCUGGCAAGUUGAAGAUCAGUUUUGUGCUAAAGCCAGAAAUGAAGUUAUAGUUGAUUGAUUGAUAAACCUGAUAAAUACCAAAAACUUUUGCGAGGCAGGUGUGAUUGCCCUUUCCGUAGCACUGUUCCAUGUACUCAAAAUAAUUAGGACCAAACUUCAAGAACGAAUCAAAUUCUGUUCUCUGUAUUUCCUUGAUGAUAAACCGGUCAUCGAGAGUUUUGGCAAACAAAGAUUUACUUUUCCCGCCUUUAGCAUCCCACUUCCUACACCUACUUAGUGAAGCAAUAUAAUCAAUUUCAGAUGGGCAACAUCGACCUCGCAAAUGAGAGAAUUCGCUAGCAUAGAGACAGAUAACUGAGUAUUUACGCUUCCCAGGCAAUUUCCCAGAACCCAUGGAGACUUCAGGGUGAUAAGUAGAGAAAGAAACUGAGGAAUUUAACAUAUCUAACCCAUUAAAACUUGAUGAACGUAUUUGUUCUGAAACAUGAGCAGACUGAAUCCCUUCAAAAUCCAAAGAACUGCUUGAGAAAUGAGGAGGAGCAAGUGAGAAUAAUCGCAUUAAGCCUUGAGAACUUUCAUUUGCCUUUUCAUCAGUUCCUCUAUCUUUUCUUCCAUCGUCUCCAAGAUCUUCACACACAACGGCUAAAUCCUUCAGCGAUGCUAAAGCGCAAGCGAUGAUGCUAGAAAAUUCAUUUUCAUAAUCAGACACAAUGUACUUAUCACUUCUGAGGGGAAUAUGCAGCCUUGCACCCUCAUCAGUAACAAGUUUAUAAGCUGUAGUUUCUACAGCAUGGGUUGUGAUGGAUCCUAAUUUUGGCAGGUAACCUCUCUGCAGAUCCUUCAUGUAUUCAUGCCGAAUUUCAGGAAAUGGAGCCCACCACCCCUUAUCAUUUUCAAUAUUGGACAAUAGUGAGGCAAGGGAUCUACUCCUUUGAGGAUUCAUAAUACCAUUUGCAGUCCUCGCAUCAGCUCUAGAAAGAUUCGGUUUUUCCAACUGCAAAUGCGUAGAAAGAUUGGAUUGUAGAUUAUUUUCAUCAACAGAGUGUAAGCAAUUAAAUUUCACUGCAGAAUCCUCAAUGGAUGAUCCAUUUCCAGUUAUUUUUGCUGCAGUUGAUAACUCAGUAACUUCACUGAAGGCAGAUGAAUUCAAUGGUCCAUUUUGUUCUGUAAAUCCACUAACAUUAGCAUCAACAGGAACUUCUACAAUUAAAGAACCAUUUGCUUCGGUAGAUACCAAAUUCAAUUUCACAUCACAAUUAUGGUUCAAAUAUUCACCACAACUUUCUCUAAUAGUUUCCAUCCCAUUGUUUUCCUCUGCAGAAGAAUCCGCAGCAAACUCAAUAUUCAGAUCAUGACAAUCUUCCAAAUCUUUGUCACCUCUUCCCAGAUUUGCUUCUGCCCCACUAGCAUCUCCUUCGACACUGCACUUUCCUUGUUGCUCCUUGUGGCUAAUAGGUUCAAUAUCUGGCAGUGUUGAUUGUUUUGGAUUAAUGGCUUUGGAAUCACCAUCUAUAUUAUAAGAAGAUAGCAGUGAAUGAAGACGGCGAUCCCAC
rnacentral:lncRNA from 1 species